rnacentral:rRNA from 1 species
AGUGAACGCUGGCGGCAGGCCUAAUACAUGCAAGUCGAACGGCAGCACAGCAGAGCUUGCUCUGUGGGUGGCGAGUGGCGGACGGGUGAGGAAUACGUGGGAAUCUGCCCAGUCGUGGGGAUAACGUAGGGAAACUUACGCUAAUACCGCAUGCGCCCUUCGGGGAAAGCCGGGGACCUUCGGGCCUGGCGCGAUUGGAUGAGCCCACGUCGGAUUAGCUAGUUGGCGGGGUAAAGGCCCACCAAGGCGACGAUCCGUAGCUGGUCUGAGAGGAUGAUCAGCCACACUGGAACUGAGACACGGUCCAGACUCCUACGGGAGGCAGCAGUAGGGAAUAUUGGACAAUGGGCGCAAGCCUGAUCCAGCCAUGCCGCGUGAGUGAAGAAGGCCCUCGGGUUGUAAAGCUCUUUGUCCGGAAAGAAAGCGCCGGGUUAAUACCCUGG